rnacentral:vault_RNA from 7 species
GGGCCGGCUUUAGCCCAGCGGUUCCUUCGGCAAACAGUUUCUGAGUUGCGGGCCCCGACUGGGGUUCGAUCCCGCGGGCACCCCUGGCCCAUUU